rnacentral:misc_RNA from 1 species
GUAGGUGAACCUGCGGAAGGAUCAUUAUAGAGAUUGGUUGGGUAACACCUUCUAAACCUCCCACCCUUUGUUUACAUUACCUUUGUUGCUUUGGCAGGCCCGUCUUUAGACCACCGGCCUUGGCUGGUCAGCGCCUGCCAGAGGACCUAAAACUCUGUUUAAUUGUAUUGUCUGAGUACUAUAUAAUAGUUAAAACUUUCAACAACGGAUCUCUUGGUUCUGGCAUCGAUGAAGAACGCAGCAUCUGACU